AGCUGAGUGGCGCAGCGGAAGCGCGCCGGGCUCAUAACCCGGAGGACGACGGAGUUAGUAUGCCCGUAAUGCAGCUG
rfam:Phaeosphaeria nodorum SN15 scaffold_26, whole genome shotgun sequence.